GAGGGUGUAGCUCAGUGGUAGAGUGCAUGCCUAGCAUGCACAAGGUCCUGGGUUCAAUCACCAGUACCUCCA
rnacentral:tRNA from 1 species